UGGGGAAUUUUGGACAAUGGGGGCAACCCUGAUCCAGCCAUGCCGCGUGAGUGAAGAAGGCCUUCGGGUUGUAAAGCUCUUUCAGCCGGGAAGAAAUCGCAUCUCCUAAUACGGGGUGUGGAUGACGGUACCGGAAUAAGAAGCACCGGCUAACUACGCGCCAGCAGCCGCGGUAAUACGUAGGGUGCGAGCGUUAAUCGGAAUUACUGGGCGUAAAGCGUGCGCAGGCGGUUUCGUAAGACAGAUGUGAAAUCCCCGGGCUCAACCUGGGAACUGCAUUUGUGACUGCGAGGCUAGAGUAUGGCAGAGGGGGGUGGAAUUCCACGUGUAGCAGUGAAAUGCGUAGAGAUGUGGAGGAACACCAGUGGCGAAGGCGGCUUUCUGGACGGUGUCUGACACUGAGGCGCGAAAGCCAGGGGAGCGAACG
rnacentral:rRNA from 1 species